GACGAACGCUGGCGGCGUGCUUAACACAUGCAAGUCGUACGGUAAGGCCCUUUCGGGGGUACUCGAGUGGCGAACGGGUGAGUAACACUUGAGUAACCUGCACACAACUUUGGGAUAACGCUAGGAAACUGGUGCCAAUACUGGAUAUGUGUUCCUUCUGCAUGCUGGGGGUUGGAAAGCUCCGGCGGUUUUGGAUGUGCUCGCGGCCUAUCAGCUUGUUGGAGGGGCAAUGGCGUACCAAGGCGGCGGCGGGUGGCCGGCCUGAGAGGGUGACCGGCCACAUUGGGACUGAGAUACGGCCCAGACUCCUACGGGAGGCAGCAGUGGGGAAUAUUGCACAAUGGGCGCAAGCCUGAUGCAGCAGCGCCGCGGGCGGGAUGACGGCCUUCGGGUUGUAAACCGCUUUCAGCAGGGACGAAGCUUUUUGUGACGGUACCUGCAGAAGAAGCACCGGCUAACUACGUG
rnacentral:rRNA from 1 species